UAAAGUGUAGAAUGCUGUUUGCAAGUGCCGUUCAAGAAUCAUUUCAUGGUAUUUUUCGUGCUUUUUCAUUUGAAGAUUUUGAAGUUUUUCUCUUUUUAGUUCAUUUUUGUUUGACAUAACAAGGGCAGAAAAUUGACAACUCUCCCUAAUGAUUCUAUCUCUGUAUGGUUAUAUCAUGAUUCUAUUAUAAAAUAACAAAAAAAUUUUAAAGAAAUAAAAUUUUUUUUAAAAUAGUGUGAAUAGAUUUGAUAAUAGUUGAAAUUAAAGAAAAAAGUAUUUGAUUUAAAGAAAAACUUUCAUACUUAUUUCUUCCUAUUAAGGGAUAAUCAAAUCCCGAUCUUAAAGGAAAUAUUUAUUUGAAGCUUUUCAAGACACCCAUUUGUAUAUUUUAUCUGGUCAAAAUUCUGACAAAAUUCAAUUUACUAGAAAUUGUAAAAUAAUACGGAAAGUCGUGAUUGCGAAAUUAUUUUUAUCUUCGUGUUGUUGUUUUUGUGUUAUUCUUAAUAGUCUCAAGCUUAUCAACAUCUUUGUCAAUCUACCAAUUCUCAAUUGUUGCGAAAACACAUGCGUAUUCUUCUACAUCUCCAAGGAGAGAAGAAACAACAAAAGAAGAACCAGAAAAAAACAAUGAGAAACACUUAAUAUUAACUGCACAAUUAAAUUCUAUUUUAAUCGAAACAUCAUAAUAAAGCUUGAAGAAAAACAAAAUUUAAAGAAGAAUACAUUAAAAAAUAAUAAAAACAUAUAAAUUUCAAAUAAACUAAGUUUGGGAAUUCUACAAUUGCAAAAUUUGAAAUUAAAUCUGUGAUUGGCAUCUUAACAUUGGCACCAAAGUGAAACAUCAACCAAAAUUUGCGACAACAACUAAUUGCGAAGACAUCAACAAAUAAUAAAAAAAAAUUGUUUUAUAUAAAAAAGUUUAAAAAUAUCGCAGUAAAUAUUUUAUAAAUUUCAACUAAAUAAAUUGGAUAAUGCUUAAAAG